rnacentral:rRNA from 1 species
GGCUCCUUGAAAAAACUCCAUAAGGAGUCUUACCUGCCCAGUGAUACAGUUUUAACGGCCGCGGUACUCUGACCGUGCAAAGGUAGCAUAAUCAUUUGCCUUAUAAUUGAAGGCUAGUAUGAAAGGUUUGAUGAGAGUUAAGCUGGCUCCUGUUAAUUAAGAUGAAAUUGGCCUUUAGGCGCAAAGACCUAAAUUAAACUAAAAGACAAGAAGACCCUGUUGAGCUUUAAAAAUUCCAUGAUAUACAAUAUUACAGUUUAACUGAAUCUUAGCUCAUUGAUUUUUUUUAGUUGGGGCGACUCCGGAACAAUCAAAGCUUCUAGAAAUUUAUUAAAUUAACAGUCUUAUAUUUAUCCAAACGUGAUCCAAAAUAUUUUGAUUAAUAGAAUAAGUUACCAUAGGGAUAACAGCAUAAUCUUUUUUGAGAGCUCUAAUCGAAAAAAAGGUUUGUGACCUCGAUGUUGGACUAGAAUAUCCUAUGGGUGCAGAAGCUCUUAAAGGUUGGUCUGUUCGACCAUUAAAAUUCU